rnacentral:rRNA from 1 species
AACGAACGCUGGCGGCGUGCCUAACACAUGCAAGUCGAACGUGAUUAGAGAGCUUGCUCUCUAUGAAAGUGGCGCACGGGUGAGUAACGCGUAGAUAAUCUACCUGAUGAUCCGGGAUAACACUUCGAAAGGGGUGCUAAUACCAGAUAAACCCACGGGGUCUUUGGACUCUGCGGGAAAAGGAGGGGACUUUCGGGCCUUCCGUCAUCAGAUGAGUCUGCGUACCAUUAGCUAGUUGGUAGGGUAAAGGCCUACCAAGGCGACGAUGGUUAGCUGGUCUGAGAGGAUGAUCAGCCACACUGGAACUGAGACACGGUCCAGACUCCUACGGGAGGCAGCAGUGGGGAAUUUUGCGCAAUGGGGGAAACCCUGACGCAGCAACGCCGCGUGAGUGAUGAAGGCCCUUGGGUCGUAAAGCUCUGACAGAGGGAAAGAAGUGUAUUGUGGCUAAUAUCCAUGAUACUUGGCGGUACCCUCAAAGGAAGCACCGGCUAACUCCGUGCCAGCAGCCGCCGUAA